CAACUCUACGCGUCAGCUGGGCGAAACCCAUCUGUUUACUUCGUGGCUCUUGGUAGAAGGCCAUAAGGUAAUAUCGUUCCAUCAUUUCUCCGCAAUUAUUUAUUAAUAUUCCUUUCUUCCUCUAUUUUCAGGUACCGGGAAACAUGCUACGGUGGCCUGCCUGAUGCCGUGAUUGCAGGUUCAUGAAACCCAUCCUCUUGGGUAUGGAUGUAUUUCAUAAAUCCUGACAAUCACUUGCAUCAGGUCUGCAAUCUCUCGGCAGGUUCCCCCUCGCAGAGCUGGGGUUAGCCAUCGGGCCACAUAUAAAAAAGGCAGCCCCAGUUCUCCAACGUUUGCCCGGGGAAGCCGCCGUGAAAUAAACACCGCUUCCCCCAGCCUGUAAGAAUGGGAUCCAGUAAUUGACCAUUCCAACGAGGGACAAUAAGAACAACUGAAAACAAAAAAAAAACUUGCGCAUGGCCGACCACACGUUCACAUUGCUGUCGCUGGUCUGCCGAACGGUGUGCCCAAGUUAAUCCCAACUCCUCCUGUCGCAGGAAGGCACUAGGAGUGGGGAGUGUGACGUGGAAGUCGGCCGCCACGCAGACGUAAAGGCCUCUUUAUAGGGGACAUCCACGCCAAUUUUUUUUUUCCUCUGGCACGUGGUAUACUAGGGUGUCCCGCAACAAAACUCCUGGCCUGACAAGAGAUUCGCCGGCAGGGCUGGUGUGCGGGAAAAUCAGAAGUGGUAUCGAAGAGUUAUAGUGCAACGUGGGGAACUCCCACACCCUGAAUCAAAGCCGGGUAUCAUGAAUAAAGUCAGGGAAGUACCGAAGUCGCUCACUUGUCCCAAGGUCACUUUACCCUCUAGUAUCUCGUUAUAGGUUUUGGCUGAUCCUAGCACUACAUUUGCAUAUGAUAAGAAGUUCGGAAAGUUUGGGAUAUCUCAUGAUCGGACAUGGAUAGCAAUUUCCGUGCCAACUUAUAGUCCGUGCCAUUAGAAUACAUCUCGUAACCGAAUAAUGAAAAGAAAGGGGUUGCUCCAGUUGCCGAAUGGACUGAUGUUCUAAGAGCGCACUCGAUCUCCGAUAAGUAGAGAUCCCAAUCUCGAUGGUCUUCAUUCAAAUAUGUCCUUAUGGCCGAUAUGACAGACUGAUUUACACGUUCGGAAGCAUUGGAUUGGGAUGAUGAUGCUAUUUCUCUGAUCUGGGGGAAUUCAGGAUUGGACGUGGCCCCCCGGCAUACUCCACGCCCUGAUUCAGGUUUCCCUGUUUACAGGACGGGCAUUUGGGAGAAAUAGUCCCAGGUUUUCCACAACGGUAGCAAAACAAAUUUCUUUCUGUGGAGUCGCAGUUUCUGAAAGUGUGGCCUUGUUUCUGGCAAUUCCAACAUAAUAAAGUUGGUUUCGUUUUUCGGAUGAACUGUAUGGCGGAUACUCCCUCACAUUUAGAAGAUUCGUGGUCACAUUCGGAUGAACCUUCCGCGUAUAUUUCGCUGACCUGACGAAUUGGACGAGAUGGAAGUACAGGUCUUAUUUCCCUUCUUGGAAAAUUCUUCUCCGCUUCAUUGCACUCUAUUCUCAGCUGUUCAACGGACGAAACUUGAAUGGGGUUGGACUAACUUAGCCCUAAUCUGGCCCAUAAUAUGGAAAAAUGUAUCAAUAGACUCAUUUGGUUGUUGUUUACGCUGAGCUAAUUCUGUCACUAUUUCAAAAUUGGAUCUGGUGGAUUGAUAUUGGCUUAACAAACUAUGCUUCAAACUGGGCCAAUCCGAAAACUUAUUAGUUUUCAGGGAUAGCCAAUACCAUGACUCGGCUGGACCGGAUACUAUUAAAGAAAAAUCCCUUAAUAUCUCUGCCCAUGGAAUAUGGUACUGUCCCUGAAAGUAUUCAAGACGAUACACGAACUCUUCAACGGAAAUACCCCCUGAAAUGCCAUCAAACCUUAGUCCCAACUUGUCUAUUCGCACACGCUUAUUUUCCCUCAGUGUAUCAUUCGGAAAAUGACUACAUACUGAACCUGCCACCGAAUUGCCAUUGGUUGGGCGGUUGCCAUUAUUUCCUGUUUCUGGUGCAGACAAAUUGUCCAAGCCCCCUAAGCCAGAAUUAGAUGCCGGUGAACUGGGUACAUUCCGAUUCAAGGUAAGUUCAGUUAACCUUUUUACAGCCUCUGAUAACUGUCCUAUUGUAUUCUUCAAACCACCUAAUUCAUUCUGGAUCAUACAAACAUUGUUUUCGAGGGCUCUUUGUUGCCUAAGGACCUCUACAUUACCAUUUCCUGGCGGUUCAGACCUGGCCCCUCCAAUCGGUGUCCCACCAGCUGAUGGACCCGAUGUAUUGUUGUUGCCUGUCCCCGAUCUUAUUGUCCCAGACAAAUCGGUGAUUUGGCUUGUACUAGCCUGGUUUCCAACAGACAUAUCGGAAUUUUUCUCUUUUUCGCCUGGGAUCGAGUCUGAAUGCUCAUAACCUUUCUCUAAUUGGACAAUAAUUUUAACGCCUAUAUUAAAUUAUUAGUUUAUUUAGAGUAUUUAUUUUUCUCUUCACUUUCUAGAACACAUAUAUUAUAUUCGGGGGUUUUACGUGAGUAGUGGUGGGUACGGGUUAUAUUAUUGACUCUCUUUCGAGCACCAGUCUGAAAUCUGGGAAAUCAAAAUUAAAACAAAACAAAAUUUUUUUUUUUUUUUUUUGUGCUUUCGACACCAAUAUCUUGCAAAUGAUGCCAAUUUCAUACCUAUUUGCCUGAUACAACGGACCUCUAAAUCCUAUCUAGAGCGGCUAUCAGGUCUAACAUAGAUCUGGACACCACAUUAAACUGUAACUAACACUACACAAAAAUAACGACACAGUAUGCUUAGUGCAAAAUACAUUUUCACAUAAAAAAGUAUGCCACUAAAUCCUCCUGUUGUUGGAUUAUUCACGUCCUCCUUCAUUUCCAGUUUUGAAGUAUCGGCUCUUCGUACAACGGACUUUUGAAAUUUCCAAAACGGUUACGAAGCUUUCGAACCUCUCCACUUUCCAAUCAGGGUUCAGUGUUGGUCUAUUUCUUUAAUUGAAAUGGGCUAUUACUUUGUGCUUUGGUGACCUACACAAACAUAAUUAACACAACAUUUGACAAAAAUGCUGAAAAUCUUUUAUUGGGCGCCAUAUUGUUACGAGGCCCCUAUUUGCGGCCAAAAAUGAUUUGGGCACCGGCUAGAUUUCGUCGCCUUAUCAGGGGAGGUCCCAUCCCAUCAUCUUUCGCCCCGGGGUCGUAUCAAUAAAUAAAAAUGUUCUAACAAACUAGACAACACUAACACACAAGCACAGAUUUCUUCCUAAGUGGGAGGUAGAUGGAAACCUCCAGUCGCCCUGCCCUACCAUGGUCAUGUGGACAUCCCCUUCUUCAAACAUGAUCCCUGUAUCCCGCUCAAGCCACCACACCUACCUCACGUUGACACCCCCCUUAUAUCCACAAUUUAGCACAACAUAUUUCUUUUUUUUUUUUUUAAACAAGUCACAACAUCAUAAAUUUUAUUUAAAAUAUAAAGGCCUAAAACUAACGCAAUUCGUAUUAAGAUUCCUGUCUUUCUUUUAUCAAAAUCAUCAACAAUAAACUGACAGUACUGAGUUUUAACUAAA